AUGCUGGAAAAUGAUAUAUUUUAUUGACUGGAGAAGAACCGGUUGACAUGCCUCCCUGACAAGAUGGAAUAAAGAUAAGCACUGUUUCUUCCCUGGAUGAGAGCAGGUCUAUAGCUCAAGGAGAAACUGAAAUGAGGAUACAGUUGAUGUUUCUUCCACGGUUCAGACCUGGAGCCAAAAUGGCAGAUGAAGCAGCCAGAAAGGAGAUCUAGUCUACCUUGAAGUUUCUUCAGCAGCAACGUGGAUCCAUCUAUGGAAGCUUUGGAGUCAGUGGUACCACGAUGGUGUUCUGGCUAGGGCAAGGAAAAAAAUUAGAUUUAACAAACUAGAAUCCAUCAGGUUUCUAUUAUUACGAGGGUUAUCCAGAAAGUACAUGACAUGACCAAAGUAUAGGAUAAACCACUUACGAUAUGCAGUAGAAAGCCACACUGAAAUAGUACAUUUCAACAUAGUUCUCAUUCAGAUUUAGGCACUUAUCACAGUGAGGAAUGACUUUGGAAGUUUCAUAGCCUCAACACUUUCCCGCCGCUGUGACCAGCGUUAUUGCAACGCUGAAACUCAGGCUGAACAAUGAAUGCAAAGGGAAGCAAGCAAGCUCCGGAAAGCGAUCUGGAGGAGAGCACUUCCCCAGGAGAAGCAGGC
rnacentral:lncRNA from 11 species